rnacentral:rRNA from 1 species
CACGUAGGGCGCAAGCGUUGUCCGGAAUUAUUGGGCGUAAAGAGCUCGUAGGCGGUCUGUUGCGUCUGCCGUGAAAACUCGGGGCUUAACCCCGAGCCUGCAGUGGAUACGGGCAGACUAGAGGUAGGUAGGGGAGAAUGGAAUUCCUGGUGUAGCGGUGAAAUGCGCAGAUAUCAGGAGGAACACCCGUGGCGAAAGCGGCUCUCUGGGACGGUACUGACGCUGAGACGCGAAAGCGUGGGGAGCAAACAGG